rnacentral:tRNA from 1 species
AACCGGGGAUGGGAAUCGAACCCACAAUGUUCCGCUUACCGGACAGAUGCCAUGUCCACUAGGCUACCCUGGA